rnacentral:rRNA from 1 species
GAUGAACGCUAGCGGGAGGCCUAACACAUGCAAGCCGAGCGGGAUUUGUUGGUUAGCUUGCUAACUAACAAUGAGAGCGGCGUACGGGUGCGUAGCACGUGUGCAACCUGCCUUUAUCUGGGGGAUAGCCUUUCGAAAGGAAGAUUAAUACCCCAUAACAUAUUGAUUGGCAUCAGUUAAUAUUUAAAGCUCCGGCGGAUAGAGAUGGGCACGCGUAAGAUUAGCUAGUUGGUGAGGUAACGGCUCACCAAGGCUGCGAUCUUUAGGGGGCCUGAGAGGGUGAUCCCCCACACUGGUACUGAGACACGGACCAGACUCCUACGGGAGGCAGCAGUGAGGAAUAUUGGGCAAUGGGUGAGAGCCUGAUCCAGCCAUCCCGCGUGAAGGACUAAGGACCUAUGGUUUGUAAACUUCUUUUAUACAGGGAUAAACCUACUCUCGUGAGGGUAGCUGAAGGUACUGUAUGAAUAAGCACCGGCUAACUCCGUG